AAAUGAGUUAGAGGUUGCAUCUUUAAAAAGUAAUACUUCAGAAGUUGAUAUGGAACGUAUGUUGAAAGUAUGAAAGGUAAAGAUGCCGAAACAAAUGAUAACCAUACUUAUGAUUUGUUGGGACAGUUAUCGAAUAGAAACUGUACUGUCACAGUUUGUGAUGUGCUACCGAUAUA
rfam:Staphylococcus sp. HMSC078E07 Staphylococcus_spHMPREF2905-1.0_Cont112.2, whole genome shotgun sequence.